CCCUCAGGAGAAGUCUGACGGAGCACGCCGCGUGAGUGAUGAAGGUUUUCGGAUCGUAAAGCUCUGUUGUUAGGGAAGAACAAGUACCGUUCGAAUAGGGCGGUACCUUGACGGUACCUAACCAGAAAGCCACGGCUAACUACGUGCCAGCAGCCGCGGUAAUACGUAGGUGGCAAGCGUUGUCCGGAAUUAUUGGGCGUAAAGGGCUCGCAGGCGGUUUCUUAAGUCUGAUGUGAAAGCCCCCGGCUCAACCGGGGAGGGUCAUUGGAAACUGGGGAACUUGAGUGCAGAAGAGGAGAGUGGAAUUCCACGUGUAGCGGUGAAAUGCGUAGAGAUGUGGAGGAACACCAGUGGCGAAGGCGACUCUCUGGUCUGUAACUGACGCUGAGGAGCGAAAGCGUGGGGAGCGAACAGGAUUAGAUACCCUGGUAGUCCACGCCGUAAACGAUGAGUGCUAAGUGUUAGGGGGUUUCCGCCCCUUAGUGCUGCAGCUAACGCAUUAAGCACUCCGCCCGGGGGGAGAGAAUCUACUAGC
rnacentral:rRNA from 1 species